CUUGAGCGUCGCCUUGCAGGUACACAUCUCAUUUCACUGCACUUGCGCAGAAGUUGGGGCGGGCCCAAUCGAUACUGCAGAAAGUCUACCCGUGACGACGGACGGACCUCUGUUCUCGGAGUAAUUAGAAAAAUUGUUUUCUUGCCGUGUUUCGCCGUUUCGACCAUUGAAAAAGGCGGAUUCCCCCACUACUGCUGAUGGCAUAAUGUGCUAUCGGAUUCCUACAGAGCAGAUACCGAUUGGACAUACCGUGAUCAGCAACUACACCCCAGCCCCGCGACCGCGCAGCGUGCUCGUGAGCAUCUACUUCGGCGAGCCGCAGCCCGACGCCCUGCUGGGAGUUCGCGAACGCAACCACCCUCGGCGUGAGUUCCAAGGUCGCUGCUAACUCUUCGCUCCACCCAACACUAACUACCAACAUGCCUGUCGCCACAAUGGUGCGUGAGGCCACCCCCCAAAAUGAGGGCAUCUGGGCCUGCAUCAAGGCCAUGUUGGAGUCUUGGAAACAAGAAAUCAUUUUCUCCUAUCGUAUCAUUCAAAACAAUUACUCCCCCUUCACCCUGAUCUAAAUGCUCACUUGAAUCCAACCUUCAUCCUUCAUGUUAUUAUUGUUUAUCUAGACUCAAUUUGUAUCUGUCAGACUUACGAAAAACAAUCCUAAUAGUAUUCCAAAACAAAGCGAUUUCAUCUUCAAAAUUCUAGCGGCAGUCAUUAUUCGCAAUGAACUAAAAUUUCCCAUUUUUGGAAUGACGUAAGUCUGACAGAUACAGUCUUAGCUCACCCUAAUAUUCCUACUCACUCCUAUGUGUUAGCGUUUCAAUAUUUAAUGUUCUUCUUACGAUGUUAUGAUAAUUGCAUUGAUUUGAGUAAUAAUGUUAUGUUAGUUAUGUUAUUAAGCUAAUUUGAUUAAGUAACAACGAAAUAAUUUGGACCGAGAUAUUGAUAGGAAGACCAACCCUAGUGACCGACGUAAAGAACUGUGACUCAUUUUGUGUACGUAAAUAGUUUCCAAUACCUAUCAAAACCUGUUUUCGCUAUGGAUUGCCGUUGGACAGAACACAUUAGUCAAAAUAUUACCACUCAAAAUUAUAAACAUGGAAAGAUGCAUUGUAACAUAUUGGCUUUCGCUCUCAUUGGCAAUGGGCGCAAAGCAACUUUUAACUAACGCUAUUUCAUUUGUAAAAUUGAAUAAAAAUGUUCAAAAUUUCAAACAUUCGCAUUUAGGUAAGGUGAGACUGGUACGAUCACAAAACACACAACACACACACACAAAGAUGAAUAAAGCACGCUAAUCAUUUUUAAUUUUGUUUAAUCGAUUUAUAUGAUUUGUUAAUAUUGAAAAUACUUUAUAAGUUAUCUGUUGUGAUAAUUAAUUAAGUUUUUGUAUUUUAACUUUAUACCUGUUUCAAAUAUACUUGUUAAUUUUCUCUAUCUAAA
rnacentral:lncRNA from 1 species